GCGAUCAGACCAGCACUUAUGCACCAGAUCCCAUGAGAACUCUGCAGUUAAGCAAGCUUGUGCAAGAGUAGUACUAGGUUGGGUGUCCACUAGGAAGUACUCGUGUUGCACCCC